UUCCUGUAACUUCCUCACAGUCUUUAAUGAUGGCACAGCGAGGACCUUGGUCGGUUUGACUGGAACCAUUGAGGUGUUUUAUGAAGGGAAACUCUACAAUAUUCCAGUGAGUUUGUGGCUGACUUAUGAAGGCCGUGUUCAGUGAAGUUCCUCCUCUGCAUGUGCGUCUUUACCCAGAAGAUUCAGGUUCUGCUUAUCAGAAACGCUCAGUUGAGGAAAUCUCACACGUGACGCUGGACAGAGAGGAUCUCUUCCUUUCUCCGAACAUAAUGAAACCGUCCUAUAGCUUGCUAGAUGUACUGUAUACGAUUUGAUUUUGCAGUUUGUACACAGUUUCUUGUUAAAGUAGACACUUGCAUGAAACUGUAAAUGUUUGUUUAAACACAAUAAUAAUGAGUGUUAAAUUUGAGCAGCACGAAUGUAAAUACUCAAUUUUUAUGUACAUUAUGUAAAUAUGAAGCAGUGUUUUCCUAGUGAUACAUAGGCCUACUCAGUUUAU